UUGAGUCAACGGAUUACUCUCAUACUUUUCUAUCAUUGGCCAACAAUAUUUUUGUGUUGAAAGGCCAAAAUUAGGCCACGUCUCAGAUGCUAUUAUCAGUUAUCUGUAUUUCUUCCCCUUUCUAUAUAGUGGAAGUAAUAUAUACACUCCAUACAAAUGAAAAAUCCAGAAGAAGCAAGAGUUGAAGAGACCAACUAAAGGAGAAACAGCCAAACCAAAAAGGAAUUUCAAUUCAAGAAAGUUGUCAAAGAGGGAUGGCGCAUUCUAUUGAGACCUACUACUGUUACAUAAGUGGGGAUAAGCACACAGGUCAGGGUCAACAUGCUUGCGUGACACAAGGCUAAAUUAGUCGUUCAACAGUAUAUUUCAGUUCAACAAGACGGUCACCGCUUUGUUAUGCGCUGUUCUCUGUCAGCUUAUUUUGCAAUUAUUUGGAUCCUUUCUUGAUUUGAUUCGGUUUUCCUUGUAGUUUCUGUUGGAGUAUUUCUCUAUUUGGUUUGUUUUUAUUUUGUCUUCCAAGUACUGUUCAUGCAGAUAUAUGAGGGUGAGGUGCUUGAUUACACUGAACAAGCAUCACGCUUCAAAGAUGGACUAUACUUUGUUCUAGAUUUCAUUUUGGCGUUUGAUUAAUUGCCUGAGAGAGGAACUGUAGUAGAAAUGAGCUUAGUUUGAUAUUGCCGGCUCUGUUUUGAUUUGGGUUGCGUGUUUUGACGAUUGAUAUCUAUAAUAUGAACAAGUUUAGGCAA